CGCGCCUUGUCUACCUGAGUCCCGCCUCCCCGCCUCAAAUCCGUGCUCUGCGCGCGCGGGCGUCGGCCGCGUGGAUCCCGCUGCGUGUUGGAAAAGAUAGUAAUCUAGAAACAGGCCUUCACCAGCAAGUGUAAAGAUAAUAGGUGUAGACAGUGUCUCUUGACUUUAAAAGAUGAAGAUAGCAGCAUCUCCACCCUUUCAGCUGUGUACACGCCCUUGGGUCGCUGGAAAGCUCUGGGUUGUGGGCCCUGCUCCUGGCGGGGCUUGACGCAGAUGACGGACAUUGAAUGGUCGCGGGGGCCAAGAUGAAGUCUCAUUCUCGUCCUCACCAGCCUGGUCCCAAGAGAACCAGCCUCAAGGGAAAUUAGGAUGGUCCUGACCUGUCCUUAAAUAAAACCAGAAAGACUCUCACCUGUCCGUAAAAAAGUGAAGAAGGGAUAUUUUUCUGGCAAGAUGUUCAUUUAUUCAUUUAUUCAAAAAUUUUUUAAAAAAUUGUUUUUGGUUAUUUUCUUGGGAGAAGGGAUUAAUUAGGUUUGUUUAUUUAUUUAUUCGUUCAUUCAUUCA